UCGGUUCGGCGAUUCGUCGAGCCGUUGUAAAGUUAUUAAAGAAACGGACGUUUAGGCUUCGUUUCUGCCUGGAGGGCCGAGGCGACAUUGUAAAGUCAUGAAAACGGAUUUGAAGCAUCGUGGCAUAUAACCGAAGACCUUUAAUUUCUGGAUCGUGGAUUGGAGGCCGUUCGGGUGGUCGCGCGAGAGAUCGGGCCAAACCGGGUGCCGGGUGCCGCGGGAGGCCAAUUGCAAGUGUCGACAAGCAAUCAAAAAGUAACUUGAGGUGGGUUGUGUUUACCGAAGUGACUAGGUCGCCUCUAUGUCUAAGAGAAAUGAGAUUUCAUAUUGAUGCAUGUUGACAUAUAAUGUGAAAUGCUAGAGGAAUGCAUUUGACAUAAUAUAAGAAUGUGAAAAGAAUGCAUGUAAACAUAUUAUAGAAAUGCUAGAUAAAUGCAUGUGAUUAAUGCUUUGAAUGCAUAAGAUAAAGGGCAUAUGAAUGUUAACAUUAUAAGAACAUGAUAACAUGAAUGCAUGAUGACUUAGUGUAAAUAGUGCUAGAUGAAUGCAUUCAGUAAUGCUAAAGUAUACAUGAUAAGCAUGCAUGUGGAUAAUGCUAAGUAAUGGUAUGAUAAGCAUGAUGUAGAAAUAAUAAAUGCAAGCACGUGGUUAAUGCUAAGAAUAUAGAUGAUGACAUGAUAAAAAUGCUAAGUUUAUGUAUGAUAAGCAUAUUUUAGGGAUGCUAAAAGAAGAAUGCUAAGUAAAGGACUUAUCAUGUGAUGCUAGUGGUAUAUGUGCAUGUUGACAUUUACAUGUUAAACUUCGGGUCGAUAACUCUAGGUUGAUUAGAGAACUCGACAUUGGAAAACUAGUAUAAUGCUCGAUGUGGACAAU
rnacentral:lncRNA from 1 species